rnacentral:rRNA from 1 species
UACAGAGGUCCCAAGCGUUGUCCGGAUUCAUUGGGCGUAAAGAGCACGCAGGCGGUUUGGCAAGUCGGAUGUGAAAACCCGGAGCUCAACUCCGGACCUGCAUCCGAAACUGCCCGACUAGAGGUAGGUAGGGGAGAUCGGAAUUCCUGGUGUAGCGGUGAAAUGCGCAGAUAUCAGGAGGAACACCGGUGGCGAAGGCGGAUCUCUGGGCCUUACCUGACGCUCAGGUGCGAAAGCUAGGGGAGCGAACAGG